AAAAAGGAUUUCAUAAAUCCACAAAUAUUUACAAGAAAAAGGAU
rfam:Megaselia scalaris, Durham, NC isolate 2 -- Noor lab, WGS project CAQQ02000000 data, contig: ctg0000392883